CGGAUCACCAGCAAAGACCUCCUGGGGAUGUUCGGUGCAGCCUUUGACAAACAUGUGCCUUGCCUGCUGAAACUGUACCGGGCUAGGAAGGGAGCUUUUGGACAGAAGAUGGAAGACCUCUUGGAAAAACUUGAACAAACAUCCGACAUUGUGUCUCACCGAAAGACAGCAGCACUGAGAGGCCUGCCGAGAUGACACAACCAAGUUUCUUCUGGAGUGUUUGGACACUGACCAUGAAGAACGAUUGCUCAGAGGUGUGUCUGUGGCCAUCCUCACUGUCAUUGAAGAUGAUGAUGCCACCAUAUCACCAAAUGUGCGAGACGUGGCUGUUGUGUUGGAAGGGACUGUAGGAGCCAUUUAGGGGUGUUGUUGUUAUGUCAGUUUACUUUAUUUAUAUUUAUACUACAAUACUAUUUUGAACACUUGGUGGCGGGGUUUAGCUGCACCGGGUGUAUAAAAGCAGUCACAGGUGACAGGAAAUGACGUGGACACAGGAGGAAGAGCAUACCGAUUCCACCAGCAAGAACAGAACGGCACCAGCCCAGCAGAUGCUCAUACCACAAUCAUUGACACAGUGUAAUAAACCCUUGGUAUGAAUCAGAAUCAGAAACA